UGAGCCCCAAUACACUGAGCAAGCUAUGUCAGGAAGUAUGUGCUGUCUGAAGCUGAUGAAUGCCGCUGAGUGGGGCUCAGAGUAAAAGCAAUCCAGCCUCCAGGCAUAACAUGAAUAAGAAAAGAAAGACUUGGCGACUCACCGAAGCUGCAGGAAUGACUUUUCUUUAUUCCAAGAGAUGUGUGCAGCUCAUGAAGGACGAUUGAAGCUUCAGCGUAUUACCAAAAGGUCCAGAACAAUGUAACCAGAGCAAAGAAGAGUUUUACACAAGAACAAAAAUUAUCCAACAAUGGGUGAAAAGCUGAAUGUCAACAUGAAACCAGAGAGGAGGGGGUUACAAAGCAGCCCCCAGUGAUUGGAUGAAGAAACUCAGCACAGAACAUCAGAGUGAGGGAGGAAGAUGAGUCAUGCAGUGAGGAACAUGUCCCCUCCAAAGCACAGAAUGUCAAACUAUGUACUCUGGAGGUCAAAUCAGUUACACGAAAGGCAGGAUUUCUAAAAGAACCAAAUUGUGCACAAUUUAUAGAGGACCAUAUCUUCUUGAACAUUUUAGGAAUCAAGGAAGGAGACCCUCAGGGAACUGUAGUUGGCCGUAAGAUCUUCGGGAGUCCUUGGAACAG